GGGGAAAUAGCUCAGUGGUAGAGAGCAUCGGUUUCUUAACUCAAAGGUUGAGGUUCGAUCCCCGGUUUCCCCG
rfam:Aphanomyces astaci strain APO3 cont1.478, whole genome shotgun sequence.